UCGGGAAUUUUGGGCAAUGGGCGAAAGCCUGACCCAGCAACGCCGCGUGAAGGAUGAAAUCCCUCGGGAUGUAAACUUCGCAAGAACGGGAAGAAUAAGUAGGGGAUAAUACCCCCUAUGAUGACGGUACCGUUUGUAAGCUCCGGCUAACUCCGUGCCAGCAGCCGCGGUAAUACGGGGGGAGCAAGCGUUGUUCGGAUUUACUGGGCGUAAAGGGCGCGUAGGCGGCCUGUGCAAGUCAGUUGUGAAAUCUCCGGGCUUAACUCGGAAAGGUCAACUGAUACUGCUCGGCUAGAGUGCGGAAGGGGCAACUGGAAUUCUUGGUGUAGCGGUGAAAUGCGUAGAUAUCAAGAGGAACACCUGCGGCGAAGGCGGGUUGCUGGGCCGACACUGACGCUGAAGCGCGAAAGCUAGGGGAGCGAACGGGAUUAGAUACCCCCGUAGUCC
rnacentral:rRNA from 1 species